rnacentral:rRNA from 1 species
AGUGAACGCUGGCGGUAUGCCUAACACAUGCAAGUCGAACGGCAGCACAGUAAGAGCUUGCUCUUACGGGUGGCGAGUGGCGGACUGGUGCGGAAUACAUCGGAAUCUACUUUUUCGUGGGGGAUAACGUAGGGAAACUUACGCUACUACCGCAUACGACCUACGGGUGAAAGCAGGGGAUCUUCGGACCUUGCGCGAUUGAAUGAGCCGAUGUCGGAUUAGCUAGUUGGCGGGGUAAAGGCCCACCAAGGCGACGAUCCGUAGCUGGUCUGAGAGGAUGAUCAGCCACACUGGAACUGAGACACGGCCCAGACUCCUACGGGAGGCAGCAGUGGGGAAUAUUGGACAAUGGGCGCAAGCCUGAUCCAGCAAUACCGCGUGGGUGAAGAAGGCCUUCGGGUUGUAAAGCCCUUUUGUUGGGAAAGAAAAGCAGCAGGUUAAUACCCCGCUGUUCUGACGGUACCCAAAGAAUAAGCACCGGCUAACUUCGUG